UACGGGAGGCAGCAGUGGGGAAUAUUGCACAAUGGGCGCAAGCCUGAUGCAGCCAUGCCGCGUGUAUGAAGAAGGCCUUCGGGUUGUAAAGUACUUUCAGUCGCGAGGAAGGUGUUAAGGUUAAUAACCUUAGCAAUUGACGUUAGCGACAGAAGAAGCACCGGCUAACUCCGUGCCAGCAGCCGCGGUAAUACGGAGGGUGCGAGCGUUAAUCGGAAUUACUGGGCGUAAAGGGCACGCAGGCGGUUAAUUAAGUUGGAUGUGAAAUCCCCGGGCUUAACCUGGGAAUGGCAUUCAAGCUGGUUAGCUAGAGUCUUGUAGAGGGGGUAGAAUUCCAUGUGUAGCGGUGAAAUGCGUAGAGAUGUGGAGGAAUACCGGUGGCGAAGGCGGCCCCUGGGACAAAGGACUGACGCUCAUGUGCGAAAGCGU
rnacentral:rRNA from 1 species